AUAAAACAAACAUAUGAAUCUUAAGAGUGUCAGCCCGCAGUGUUUUCUCUUCGCAGUUUUAAUGAGUGGCCAGUCUCUUAUAGACAAAAUAAGGAAUAUUUAAUAAAUGUUUUCAAGGAGGGACACUCUUAAAUAAAACAAUUUUAGCUGCAUAAACAAAGUAAUUUAACUCCCAGAGGCAUACCUAGGUUACAUGGCACCUGGGGCAGAAAUGUAUUUUGCCACCACUACCACCCC